GCUUGCUUCAGCAGUACAUGCUUUAGCAUGUACUAAAAUUGGAAAAAUACAGAGAACAUUAGCAUGUGGCCACACAAAUAUGACACACAUAUUUGUGAAGCAUUCCAUAUUUUU
rnacentral:snRNA from 1 species